rnacentral:misc_RNA from 1 species
GCGCGCUUUAACACCAAUCCUAUUUAAAUAGGCAGCAAAAAUCCUUGUGGACAUGCACUCCCCAAAGGAAACUAAGUAAUCUCUGGUUCGAAGAGUCAAUUCUUUCAUCAUAGCAAUUCCCUUGAGAAGUUGCUCCAAUUCAUCAAGGUGAUUUGCAAUAAUAGACCUGUCAACACCAAGCACGUCUGCAGUCUUCAGAUGCAACUCUUUUAUGAAUUUCAUCUCUUCAAUAUCCGAUGCAUUAGUAACACCACAGCUAACAGCCUUUUCUCCAGCCAGCAAAAGUUUAUUGGUUGUCUUUCCCAUG